UAAUGAUACUAUUGUGGCCCAGCAUUUACACAUAGUGGAACUCUCCUCAAAAUCUGCUAUCUAAGAUUAUCCUGGCCCUAAGUUAACCUCAUAUGCGGCCACGAGAAAAAUCAUACUUUUCUUGAUAUGGUGAAGAGCACAUGUAUUGGGAUGACUAUACAAUCACCAAACUUACUUGUAGGUGGUACUGGUAUCCUUCUGAGUUUUCAGAGCAAAAGGAAGAAAGGAGUUAUACUUUGAAGUUCAAACACACUGAACAGAAUGGUCGAAAGCCACCUUGCUUGAAGCAAAGCCCAUACCUGCAGUUACUGAGUUUGUUGCACAGUUACAGAUCUUGGAGCUGUUGGACAAUGCUAUUUUUACUGCUGGCUACAAGGCUGUGUUGCACAUUCAUGCUAUUGUUGAGGAAUGUGAGAUUGUUGAACUGAUGCAGCAGAUUGAUCUCAAGAAAAAGAAGCCCAUGAAGAAAAAACCUUUAUUUGUAAAGAACGGAGCAAUCGGUCUAUGUCGUGUUCAGGUGAAUAAUCUGAUUUGUAUCGAGAAGUUCUCUGAUUUUCCACAACUUGGGCGGUUCACUCUUCUCAGUGAAGGAAGAAAGGAGUUAUACUUCGAAGUUCAAACACACUGGAAAGCCACCUUGCCUGAAGGUAAAAAAGUACUUUUAUCAGUUGUGGAUCCGAUUGGACAACUUUGGGUACGGAUGUGAACAUGUCUGCUCAAGCCACUUUAUCAUUCCAUUCAGAGGAGUAAUAAUUUAUCCCUGACAUAGCUAGGUGGGAUAGUAGUAGUCAAGUGGAUGAAGGGUAUACCAACUCUAUAAUAUAACAAGAGAUAAUCAACAUGUAUUUGUCUACUUCUAGGAUCACCACUCAGCCCAUCAAUCUCCCUUGAUAAUUUUUGCUGGUGGUGGUUUUGCAGGUUUUCAAUACAAUUCAGAAAUAAAUAACUAUCUCAUGAGUCUGACAGUCACCAAGUAUAUUCUACCUAGAUCUUAAGACAGACAUAAAGUUCAAAUAUCAAUUGCCAAAUCUUCUCAUUUUGUUCCUUUCCCAGUUGUUGGUUUCGGUUUUACGCUUUGGUCCACUUCCAGAGCUACCAACUAUGCCAUCAGUGUUGAAGCAAACAGCUGCUCUCUGUAAAUAAAAAUAUUUUAUAAAUGAGCACUCCUCCCCUGAACAUUUGCUUCAUGAUCUAUAAGGCUAGAUCAAACUGUAUAUAUAUUGCAAACAGCAAGGUAUGUGUUUUACCUCAAUGCUUGCUUUUUGACCUUGUAAAUUGCCUAUUCAAAACAACAUGAGAUGUGACUCAACAUGUAUAAUUUUCAAGAAAAAGAAGAAGUCAAUUAUAGUCGGAAUUUUCUCACCAGAGCAUUUAGGCAACAUUUUCUCACUAGA